GAUCCUCCCACCUCAGCCUCUGGAGUAGCCGGGACUACAGCCAAAUUCCUCCCGCAGAUGGGCUCUGACGUGAAACCACAAUGACGCUGGUUAAAAUUCACUGAAUGCUUGCUAUAUGUCAGGCUCUGUUUGGAGCCCAGCACCUCUACAUAUAUCAUCUCAUUUAAUCCCACAGUGACCUCAUGAGGGAGGUACUGCUGUUUGUCCAUCUUAAAGGUAAGGGGCUGGCUCUCAGCACCAAGACCCAGCACAGCAUUAGACCCAGAGGACAGCUCAGUUCUUGAUUGCCAGACGGCUGCACAGAGGCAUGGAGGAGGCCAUUGUGAGGAUAAAAUGAGAUCAUGGUGCAUGGUGAGGCCUCAGCAGCGCUGAACAGCGAUUCCUGUUGUCUUUUCUGUGGGCAUCAGACUACCCACCAGGCAGACAUGUCAGCGCACACAUCAGCUCUGUGUCCUCUGUGUCCAGCACAAGUCUGAAGAAUCACAUGGGUGAAGCUACUGCCUGGCCUCUGUUUUCUGUAGCAAAAUUACACCCCAUUCCCACGCACCUGCCCUCAGAAGAGAGAGAAUGUGGAGCCACCCUCGUCACCAGGCAAGACAGCAGGUGACCCGGUGCUGUCAUCUUCUGGCUGAGAAGAUGCUCCUGGUCUCCAAGCACUGGGAACCUCCAAGGAGGGCAGACAGCGACAUUUCCCCAGCACUUCCCAGUCCACUGCCCAAGAGCCUUUAGCUCCUGACCCAGUUUCCCAAGUGAAAUGAGUUCUCUCUCCUCAGAGAAAAAUGGAAAAAAAGAAAAAACGAAAAACAAAAGAAAAAUAAAUUAGUUCUCUC